GUAGCGUGAUGGCGUCUGCCUUCAUAGUUUCAUAUACUUGGAUCCAAGAAUGUGAUUACCUACAUCAUUUGACCUUAUUAAAAAUCUGGAUCCAGCUCCAGCAGAGCGAGACUAUGUUUGCCAACACAACAGCAGCAACUCGGCGGCACAUCAUAAUGACAUAAUUGGCAGGGGGGAGCGCAGGCGCGCGGCGGUGCGGGGGGCGACGCGCGACGCAUGCGCGGGUUUGACGGCCAAGGUCGAGGCCGAGCGAUUCUGCCGCGCACCGCCGCGUUGGUAGGUUCUUCUCGCGCGCCCUCUUUCUGGAAACAACUUCUGAGGGACAAAUGCGCAAUAAUCGUCGCGAGUGCCAUGAAUCCUGACCUUCUACGCAGCUGAGGACUCACCGGCAAAGGUGAUGGCCCUACGUAGACACGACGAAGGCUGGGAUGUCUUCUGAAGAAAAAAAAAAUCUGAAGAAGCUCAGGUGCAGUGACGAGAUUGAAAGGAAGAUGGCGGCGCAUGAGCUACGCCGGUGCAGAAGACGAGGAGACUGCGCAUACGCAUCCGACCACUUAGAAACGACUGAAGAAUACAAAAUACAAAAACAAUAACGAAUACUACACCCUCUAACGCUAACUAACAAUAUGAGAAAUUACAGUCACAUAAAAAAUAAAUCUUAAAACCGAAAGAUAUUAUUAAUGAAAAUUCUAUUAUUAAAUCCAAUCAAAGUAAAUAAACAAAACAAAAUGUCAUUAGCUGGAUUUGUAGAACAACGUAUAAUUAUAUCUUUCUCUUGCCUACUCAAACCAUGACAGCGGGUUCGACUCCUGCCCUCUUCAAGCCUACAGACCUGUUAUUGGUAUAAUAGAUGUCGUGUUUUCUUUUUUACAGGUGGUCUGAUCCAAAAAUAGAACAACGAACUUCGCUGAACAACUGAAACAAUGGCUGACAACUGGUCGUGGAAAAUAUAUUAAAUUAAAUAAACAAACUAUAUAAUAUCAAUAUUAGGUUUAAACACACCUAAGUAAAUUAAUAAAAAAUUGUAUGAAUGCUCACAUACGUACCUAAAUAACACACAAUUCAUUAUAAAAAAUUGUUAAGAGUAGGACUAUAUAACAAGAAUUAAAUAUGAAUCAAGCAAUAACCUUAUAAUAAUGGAGAACAGUUAAAACAAGAUGUUUGCCUCAAUUUUAUGUAAAUCGUUCUAGAACGUCUAUACAUUUAACACAGGCUUUCAUUUUUUACAACACAAGACCUUUCCUGAUACGCGGUUUUUCCUAUUGCGAGGUUUUCCUGCUUUGAGGUUUUCAAGAUAGAAGAAUGGGUCUUCUGUAAGGUAGACCGCGUUGGCAGUGUGGUUAGCUGGUUGUUUAAAUUGCUACAACAGCCAGUAACGACACUGCCUCCGCGUGCAACCUAAAUGCAACCACUUAGAAGAACACAAGAAAGAAGAACGGUUAUUAUGUACUUUAUUAUUUUCAUGAUAGGGCUGCUUUUUGUGUCACAGAGAGAAUGUAGAAAUUAGUGAGAUAAUUUAUUUUAAUAUUAUUACAUUGUAACUGCAUAACUCUUGAGAGAACGUGUAGCAUCGUUGUGCAUUACCAAAAUAUAUAAUAGAUACCUACCUAUGUAAAAGUUAAAAAUAAUCUGAACAUCUAAUUUGUUAGAUGUUUACUCUUUGAAAUAAAAUAACUAAUAGACUCCGUAAAACAAGAUUUUACACUAAAAUGUCUAAAGUCUCAUUAUUAUCAUCAGCUUGUGUUCAUCCACUGCUGGACAUAGGCCCCUUCAAUGGCACGCCACUGAGUUUGGUCUUCAGCUCUUCUCAUCCAACCACUGCCAUCCACCUUGCCGAUGUCGUCACUUCACCUAGCUGGAGGGUACCCUACACCGCGGUCUCCACUCUAAAACUAGUUUACCAAAAUGGUUUUUUGGUUCUUCGACAAAUGUCACCGGCCCACUGCCACUUCAGCUUACUAAUCCUUUGAGCUAUGUCGA